rnacentral:rRNA from 1 species
UACGUAGGGUGCAAGCGUUAAUCGGAAUUACUGGGCGUAAAGGGUGCGCAGGCGGUUCUGUAAGUCAGAUGUGAAAUCCCCGGGCUUAACCUGGGAAUUGCGUUUGAAACUACAGAGCUAGAGUGUGGGCAGAGGGGGGUGGAAUUCCAUGUGUAGCAGUGAAAUGCGUAGAGAUAUGGAAGAACAUCGAUGGCGAAGGCAGCCCCCUGGGUUAACACUGACGCUCAUGCACGAAAGCGUGGGGAGCAAACAGG